rnacentral:lncRNA from 1 species
UCCUGAUCCUUCCAUUGCAAUGCUAAUGAUAAGGUAUUUGUGAUUUCUAAUAUAGUCAACAUGAGACCCAAAUGGAAGACAAAGUCAAAAGAUUGGAAGUAUCGUAGAAGGUUUGAUGCUUGAUCUCUAAUUUUCCAAUCUUUUUUAUCUUUUCCCACAAUUUCUAGUACCUGUAGGAAACAUGUCAACCAAACUUUUGAGAGAUUUAUAAUGGGAACUCCAGCGAGUAUCUCCAGAUCUUUGAAGACUUUGCUCUUGAUUCAACCCUGUCCCGGUCUGAAGCUACCCGCAACCUAAUGCUUUACUCAUUUCUUGAAGAUUAAUAUCUCUAAUCAUGUCCCUUCUCUUAGAUGAUCCACCC